ensembl:rRNA 5S_rRNA 5S ribosomal RNA
AUCUGUGGCCAGACCAACCUGAACGCAGCUGAUCUUGGAAGCUAAGUAGGGUCGGACCUGGUUUGUACUGAGAUAGGAGAUAUGUAUU